rnacentral:rRNA from 1 species
ACUCUAAGGAGACUGCCGGUGACAAACCGGGAGGAAGGUGGGGAUGACGUCAAGUCAUCCAUGGCCCUUACGGCCUGGGCUACACACGUGCUACAAUGGUCGGUACAAAGGGUUGCCAAGCCGCGAGGUGGAGCUAAUCCCAUAAAACCGAUCGUAGUCCGGAUCGCAGUCUGCAACUCGACUGCGUGAAGUCGGAAUCGCUAGUAAUCGUGAAUCAGAAUGUCACGGUGAAUACGUUCCCGGGCCUU